UACGGAGGGUGCAAGCGUUGUUCGGAAUCACUGGGCGUAAAGGGCGCGCAGGCGGCUUGGUAAGUCAGAUGUGAAAGCCCACGGCUUAACCGUGGAAGUGCACUUGAAACUGCCUGGCUUGAGUACCAGAGGGGAAGGUGGAAUUCCCGGUGUAGAGGUGAAAUUCGUAGAUAUCGGGAGGAAUACCGGUGGCGAAGGCGACUUUCUGGCUGAGUACUGACGCUGAGGCGCGCAAGCGUGGGGAGCAAACAGGAUUAGAUACCCUGGUAGUCCACGCCGUAAACGAUGUGAACUAGAUGUAGGGGGUGUUGAUUCCCUCUGUGUCGCAGCUAACGCACUAAGUUCACCGCCUGGGGAGUACGGUCGCAAGAUUAAA
rnacentral:rRNA from 1 species